rnacentral:rRNA from 1 species
UACAGAGGUCUCAAGCGUUGUUCGGAUUCAUUGGGCGUAAAGGGGGCGUAGGCGGCGCGGUAAGUCGGGUGUGAAAUCUCAGAGCUCAACUCUGAAACUGCACUCGAUACUGCUUUGCUUGAGGACUGGAGAGGAGAUUGGAAUUCACGGUGUAGCAGUGAAAUGCGUAGAUAUCGUGAGGAAGACCAGUGGCGAAGGCGGAUCUCUGGACAGUUCCUGACGCUGAGGCGCGAAGGCCAGGGGAGCAAACGGG